rnacentral:rRNA from 1 species
AGGGAAUCUUCGGCAAUGGACGGAAGUCUGACCGAGCAACGCCGCGUGAGUGAAGAAGGUUUUCGGAUCGUAAAGCUCUGUUGUAAGAGAAGAACGAGUGUGAGAGUGGAAAGUUCACACUGUGACGGUAUCUUACCAGAAAGGGACGGCUAACUACGUGCCAGCAGCCGCGGUAAUACGUAGGUCCCGAGCGUUGUCCGGAUUUAUUGGGCGUAAAGCGAGCGCAGGCGGUUAGAUAAGUCUGAAGUUAAAGGCUGUGGCUUAACCAUAGUACGCUUUGGAAACUGUUUAACUUGAGUGCAAGAGGGGAGAGUGGAAUUCCAUGUGUAGCGGUGAAAUGCGUAGAUAUAUGGAGGAACACCGGUGGCGAAAGCGGCUCUCUGGCUUGUAACUGACGCUGAGGCUCGAAAGCGUGGGGAGCAAACAGGAUUAGAUACCCUGGUAGUCCACGCCGUAAACGAUGAGUGCUAGGUGUUAGACCCUUUCCGGGGUUUAGUGCCGUAGCUAACGCAUUAAGCACUCCGCCUGGGGAGUACGACCGCAAGGUUG